rnacentral:rRNA from 1 species
UACGUACGGUGCAAGCGUUAUCCGGAUUUACUGGGCGUAAAGGGAGCGCAGGCGGCGCGCCAAGUCUGAUGUGAAACCCCGGGGCUCAACCCCGGGCAUGCAUUGGAAACUGGCGGGCUGGAGUGCCGGAGAGGUAAGCGGAAUUCCUAGUGUAGCGGUGAAAUGCGUAGAUAUUAGGAGGAACACCAGUGGCGAAGGCGGCUUACUGGACGGCAACUGACGCUGAGGCUCGAAAGCGUGGGGAGCAAACAGG